UGGGGUGUCGCCAAGUGGUAAGGCAACGGGUUUUGAUCCCGUCAUUCGUUGGUUCGAAUCCAGCCACCCCAGCCA
rnacentral:tRNA from 1 species